UGUAGAGGAAGCCGGAGUCACACUGGCAGCCCUCAGCACACCCAUCUGGGCACUGCAGAGGGGCACUGAGAGCCGAGCAGCCCAGGGAGCAGGUGUCCGCACAGAGCUCGUAGUGACUGUUCUGAGGGCAUUCCAUGGCUGCAAGGAGGGGGUGCCGAUCAGAGCCCUGGGGAGGGAGGGGCUGCAAAGCCCAGGGUCUACCCCUUCUGUGCCUCAAGCUCUCCCCUCCCUGCCCCUCCGGCUCUCCCUCACUCACGACAGAAAGUUUCAUUCCUCCAGGGCUCCACGUGGCCUCCAGCCGCCUGGCAAGCACUCACGUAGGCAUGGAUGUUGCUGCAGAGAAUGCUCAGGUUCCCACCACCCAGGCAGAGAUCAAAGAUGCAAUCUUUCAAGGGACCCUGGGGAUCCACCAGCUUGUGGCAAGAGGACAGUGGCCCUGUGGGGCUGGAGAGGAGCCCACAGAACUCC
rnacentral:lncRNA from 1 species